rnacentral:rRNA from 1 species
GACGUAGGAUGCGAGCGUUGUCCGGAUUUAUUGGGCGUAAAGAGUUCGUAGGUGGUUCGUUAAGUCUGGUGUAAAAGACUGGGGCUCAACCCUGGGAUCGCACUGAAUACUGGCGGACUGGAGUGUGGUAGAGGCAAGCGGAAUUCCCAGUGUAGCGGUGAAAUGCGUAGAUAUUGGGAAGAACACCGGUGGCGCAAGCGGCUUGCUGGGCCAUAACUGACACUGAGGAACGAAAAGCUAGGGG